rnacentral:lncRNA from 1 species
CUUCUUGUCUUCACAGCCUGAAGGCAGAAUGUGAAGGCUGAACAGCUAUGAUUUACCCGGUUCUGCAUCCAUUAAGAAUAGUGUGUUGAAGUUGCUCAUUCAUCUCCUUAGAGAGCGGGGAAAAGGAUGCACUGUGCAUUUGGAUAAUGGUUCAUAUGUUUCAAGCUCUGAAGAGGGGCAUGGUUCAAUCCCUAGUCAGCUCUUGGCAUAACUUCCUAAGAGAAUGAGGUAAGAGGGCAGGGCAGUAGAAGGGGUAAUAUGAGAACAAGUAUCAAAGGUGACUGUUCUAACAACAAACAUUCACUGAGCAUCAGCAACAUGUAUUACUUUAUAAAGUAAUUCUUAAUCCUAUGAAAGCCUCUCAAGCUCUGUAGUCUUGCUCCCCCCCUUUUCUCAUUUAUAGGAAACUGGCAUUUAGAAAAGCUAGUAACUUGUUCAUAGUCAAUCCAACUAAGUGUCAUGGAACUGGGAUUUAAACCCAGGUCUGUCUGAAUCUAAGAUUCUUGUUCCUUCCACUUUAUUGUGUGUCCACCAGAUACAAUUUUGUUGUCAUUCUUCUCCAACUUGCCACCUUGCUCUCAUCUCUCCGGAGCAGGUGGCUUUCUUCAUGUUUCACUUGGUGUCAAACUCAUGUUGUGUGCCAGCACUGUCAUGGUCCAAACUCUCUCAUUUCAUAUAUCUACAUCAAAACUUAAGUCUUUGAACCCAGCACCAGCAAAAAUUCAAAUCUCAGCCAGGUGUAGUGGUGUACAUCUGUAAUCCUAUGGCUCGGGAGGCUGAGGCAGGAGGAUUGUGAGUUCAAAGCCAGCCUCAGCAAAAGUGAGGCGCUAAGCAACUCCGUGAGAUCCUGUCUCUAUAUAAAAUAAAAAAUACUGCUGGGAUGUGGCACAUGGUCAAGUGUCCCUGAGUUCAGUCACCAGUAGCCACCGUACCCCCCCCCCCGAAAAAAAUUCAAAUCUCAAUUGGUGCCAUUUAUUUCUUUGUCUUUGCUGACCCCAACCUCUUGUAAACCUACUCACUGUCUCCUGACCAUCCUGUCUGAUCCUCAUGAAUUCUGAGCUAGUCUAGUUCCACCCACACUCAGGCAAUCAACAAGUCGCUGAUCAUAUCCUCCCUUCUAGAGAUCUUUCAAAGUAGUUCACAGGGGCUCUGCCCUAAACAUUGGCAAAAUUCACCCCUAGUCUUUGGAGUUGCUUUUCCCAGCAAUGUUUCUUUAUCAGUUUGGUGCAUUUCCUCAUUUGUAAAGUAAUGUAUCUCUCAUCUGAAUGCCUGCAAGCUUCUUUCCCUAUUCAUUCCUAUGAUUCUAAGUAGCAUUGUCCAUUGUCCAAAACAGAUGUCCAGUGAAAUAACCAUUUAGUACCUAACAUAAAUACAAGUUCAUAAAUGACUGAGAGAACAAACAUGAACCAUAGACUAUUUUGUGUGUGUGUGUGUGUUUUCCACAAAAGAGAGUUCUUUGAACAAGAUGUGUGUAGGUACUUAGGGGAAAGUUCUUAGUUCAUGCACCACAUAUCCCACUAUGUUUUGUUUGUUUGUUUGUUUGUUUUGUUUUUUGUACUCCACACUCAAUCCACAAACUUCUAUUAACUUUGGAGUCACUGUGUGCUGUUUCUCAGUUUUAUUAUUGUGUAUCAUGUGAAUAGUUCACAAAGGCCAGUCAGACCUUUUUUUCUUGGUCUUAGUUCCUCAGCUCCACCCUUAAAUUUUGUAUUUUUCACAAUACAUCAUUUUUUGGUGUUCCAAGCUGUGGACAUUUUUAGUAGUUUUUCCCAUUGUGGAGCGAGAGUGAUUUCUCAUAUUUUCUACGAUUGCUAUGUAAAGUGACUAGAAAGAUAAAUCUCCGCACUGAAAUGCAGUGUGAUUGAACCAUCUAGAUCCACAGUAGAGAGGCAGAUGAUGAACAAGCUUCUGCCAGGCACUGGACAGCUGGAUGCAUUUCACAGCUCACAGUGCAACCCUGCUCAUGAGAACAAAUGAAGACUCACAGGUCUGUGAGAAAGCAGCAGUGGGAUGGUUGCAGACAGCUGGAUGUAAUUACCCACCUCACCCAGAAUGUGAAAGUGAAAAUUAACAGCUGUUGAAUCAUGGGGUGAGAGUGCCCUUCUAGCCGUGCAUGGGCUAGGCACAUACUAUUUCAUCAAAUGCAACACAGCAAAGUCCUACGGAGAAUCACAGUAAAAAUGGCAGUCCUACAAGAAGCAGCAUGAAUCUUAGGUCCUGUAAAACUCAGUCCCAACCACUCAGUCUGACAUAAUAGAGCUGCCCUCCUCUUGUGAGGAUCCCACUCUCAAUAUCAGUUCUCUUUUCUAGCUUAGUUCUUCCUUUUCUGUGUGUGCUUAUUUCCAGGAAAAUCUUCCUGUUAGUAGGCAACCUCACAUCUUCCUUUCUAAAUCUUUACAGGCUACUCCAUAUAGCAUUAGCUUUAGAAUCACAAAUUCACUGCUCACAGCUGUGUGUUACAAGGCAAGAGCACAGCCUCAUUUCCUCAUCAGUAAAAUUUUUAUUAUCACCUCCAAUUUUUAGGAGUAAGUAUGAAAUGAGAACUUGUGAAGUGCUUAGUACAGUCUCUGGUGGGUAGAUUAGUUCUUUACUAGUUCUUUUCUAUGAGCCUCGAGGACAGAGUCCUGGUGAGAUGCCUAUUGGAUAAUAAGUUGUAGAUUAAUAGGAGUUGUUGGCUUAUGAUCCACUUCUUGAACUAAAAAUGACCACAUUUCUUCAGAAUGGGUCCUUUGAAACUGUCUUUUAAUGAAAUGGAGGAGGAAUGAGUAAAUCUGUAUAAUAAACUAUAAUGAUUAUAAUUUAAUGAAUUUAAUUGCACCAUCAAGAGAUAACAAUUGAUAUGAUACAGUGCUAUCACAUAUGCAAGGAGGAUUGUUCUUUUCUUACUGUUAAAGGGGAGAUGUUUGUGGCACAUAUGCAUACACAGGGAUAAAAGAACACCAGUCUCAAGCUUUAUUUGGAAUACUGUCGAGUCUGAGAAAAAUCUGAAUUUGACUUUCAGAAAUGAAUUCAUGAAGCUCUAUAUGUCUGAAAUUCCAGAUAAAUAUAUGACUGAUAUAUUUCUGUAAUAUGGCCAGAAGUCUUCGGGGAGGGGAGAAAGGAGCUAUUAAUGCAACUUUCUGCUUCUGAAUUUUUGCACUGUGCUGGUGGUACACUAAGUGGACACCAAGUGCUAUUGACCAGCAUAAGAUGAAAUGGCAAUGACAUCAUCACUUACUUCUUAAUAUUUACUAUUUAACACCAUCCCAGAAUUUUCUUGUAUAAAAUAAAAUGGUAAUGACCUCAUCACUUGCUUCUUAAUAUUUACAAUUCUCUUUUCAGCACCAUCCAGGGCAUUUUCUGUCAUUAAAUGAACUGACAAUGACCUCAUUACUUGCUUCCUAAUAUUUACAAUUCUCUCUUCAACUCCAUCCAGGGUUUUCACUCUUUAAGGCCUUAAAUUCAAAUUUCUCUAGUAAAAAUUAAUUCUAUAGUGUAGAGGUUCUAGUCAAUGUAUCUUUUUGUACACUUUAGAUAGACGUAUAUAAAAUUAUACAGCCAUGUGUCUGCUCUAGGUCAAGAGUGAGGCUUGUAGUGAAAGUGAAUCAUUAAUCAAUACAAUGUGGGUGAAUUAAGAUUUCUUUUAGCUGUUAUGACCAAUCCAGAUAUAGUCAGAGGACUUUUGGCCCCUGAAAACUUAUGUCCACAUCCUAAUGCCGAGAAUCUUUGAAUGUUACCUUAUUUGAAAAAAGAAAACAAAAAGAUCUUUGCAGAUAUAAUUGUGUUAAAGUUCAUGAAGUGAGUAUGUAAUUCUGGGUUAGUGAACAGUCCUUAAAUCCAAUGAUAGAUAUCCUACAAGAGGCACACACAUAAGAGAAAAAGACAUUCUAUCCAGAGUGGCAGAGAUUGAAGGGAUGUGGCCACAAGUCAAAAACCACCUGAAGCCCUCUAAAGCUGGAAGAGGUAAGGAAGGAAAUCUCCCCUAGAUCCCCUAGAGGCAGCACAGCCCAGCUGGCUGCUAGAUUUCAUACUUCUAGAUCCUACCACUGUGAGAGAACACAUUUCUAUUGUUUGAACGCACUAAGUGUAUGAUAAUUUGUUAUAGGAGUCACAGAAAACAAAUGCACGUGGCUAAUUUUAAUUCUGACAUUCUCCAACAACAAGGAUACCUUUUCACUCUGUUCAAUAACAACAUUUUUAGGUCUGCCUCACUUAUAUUUUUUCUUGGCAUUUUUUCUUAUCUGCAGACUAUAGCAAGACAACCAGCUCUUUCUCACGUGGAUGAUGGCUACCAAAAUGUGUGGUUUGUAUUAAGGGGAAGGUUUUCUGUGGCUCCAUUUCUUUACAUCUGCAAAUGAUGUUCUGAGGGCCUGCCAACAGGCCCUGUGCUUUUUGUUGUCUCAUCCUAACAGGUCCUCCUUAGUCUGCUUUGGUUUAUCUGCUUAUAAAUCAGUGUGAGGUUGGAGCACAGAAGAUCUGGAGCACAGGUUUCUUACUCUUCCAUUCAACUGCCAUAAAACUUAAUCAUAAUCAACAUGCCUAUGUGAACUAACCCCAUAUUCAUUGCCUGAGCAAUGAACAGCUCAAUCUUAAGCCUUAGGAAUGAGUACUUUCUCCAAACACACCACUGGGGAAAUAGAGAUAUUUAUGGUGAAUGAUGAUGCUUUCAACAGUUAAGCAUGAUGUUGAUGUUGCACUCACUUAAGAAGCAAGGUUUGUCAUUCCAUGGAAUUGAACUAUUCAAUGGGAAUACCAAUAUUCACACUUUCAGGGACAGAGGCAAAACAUAUGGAGGAAAUUCUUGGAUUUACAUGCAAAUAAAUGCUGUAUGAUUAAAAUAAAUGAAAAGAGGAGGAGGGUAUAUAUGCAGGCAGAGUAAGGAGAAAGCAAUUGAUUUACUGACCUAUAAAAUUUGAAGGAGCAUUAGAUAACUUACAGGGUUUCCUGUGGCUCUAAAAUAGGGGUGUGUGAAAAAUUGAUCCUGUGGGUACUAUCAGUCUACAGACAUGUUUUGUAUGGUUCAGAUUUAUUCUAUUAAACUUGGAUGUGAAAUUUAAAACUCAUAAUAUCACACAUUAAAAUCCAGAUUUAUGACUUAUCUUGAAAAAUGGAAAAGUUUGGGAAUACUGGGCCCACAUUUUCAAUGGGCAAUAAUGAGCUGGCAAUCCCCUGAGCCCUCUGAGGUAUGUACUCUGGGUCACCUCUUUCUUUCCACUUACUCUAGGGACUCCUCUAAAUUACAUUGUCCCUUAUUAUACUUGAUACUUUCAAAUCUGUUUAAAGCUUUUGUCACUCUGAUUUUCUAGCUUAGUGACCCAUUCAUUCAAUGUCAUUUUAAAACCUCAUACAUAAAAUCACCUAAGAUAAAUUCUUCCCUGGGACUGCCUUGUCUGCACAGAAUCCUUUCCGCUCUCUCUGCAAACAUGAUUGAAGACCAUACUGCACUAUUUUCUAUCAUUAAACAUGUAGUAUACCAGAUUUGGGUCUGUUUUCUUCAAAAUGUCUUCAAGUUUCCUAAGGGGCUGAAGUUACUGUUGGAUAUUUUUGAUAAAUGAAUGUAUUUUAUUUUGCAUUUAAAAGACAUAUUCUCACUGCCUUCACCUUCAUUUUCAAAAUGAUAGAGCUAAAAUAUAACAAAAUUGGGGAAAUAUCAUUUAUCUUAUGAGAUUGGCAUAUCAACUGCCAGUUUCUUCAGGUAAAUUUGCAUUUUCACAUGUUUAAAUCUUUCUGAUAUUUUAGUUUCUAAUUAUUGCUUUGUCUCAAUUAUAAAUUCCUCUUACCUUAAAAAAUUUUUUAUCACCUUCAGAUAUUAAAAAGUUUCUGAAAAAAUUAGGUACAUAUCAUUUUUAUAGUAACCUAAAUCAUUUCUCACCAAAGUUUUACCUUAUUUGGUGAAAUUUGGGGCGUUGGCUACUACAUUCUAGCACUGUUCUAAGAAUAGUGUUUGUUGUUACUAUUCUAGUUUAAUCCAACAGACUCUUAUCCUCUUCAGUGUUCUAUUACCCUGCAUUGGUGUUAUAAGCCAAGAUGAUAUCACUGUCACAAACUACUGAACUUACUAUGAUUCAAAUGGUCAAAAACUAAUUAUUUAAAUGAGGGCACUACAGAGGGAAAACAAAAGUUACAGAUCCAGUUUUUGAUGUAUUCCUUGACCUUAUUUCUGGACAUGCCAUCUCAUGUAGUUUGAUUGCUUUGUGAUAGCACAGUGCAGAGCUUCAAUUUCUAACGGAAAAAUGUUGUUCUCAUUGAUAUUUUUCCUAGGUACAUAACAGGAGUUUCAUGUUUUCAGAAUAGUAAAUAUAGACUAAUUGAUAUCUUAAAAGGCAUAAAUAUGUGAAUGAAUGAAAAGGUGAGUAAAUAAGUGCUUACUCCUUUAGUAACUUCCCACUGAUGUUUUCAUUUCCCAGAAUGACCAGGGCCUUCACAUUACCGUGGCCUGUAAUGUCCAGCUCUAGUCAACUCCUGCAACCUCAUAUCGUUGCUCCUUUACUUAGCCUUCAGUUCUACUCAUGACCUUCGCGUACCUAGUGUCUUUAUACUGCAGUCCUUAGCAUUUACUUCUUUUGAUUGGGAAGAUAUUCCCACAGCAUUGUGCACAGGUGGCUACUCCACAUUCUCCAUCCCUUCUUGCUUAUCACCCCCAUUUAGAGAUUUUCCUUGAUUAUUUUGAAGUGAGAUUCUCCAGUUCAUCUCCAUUUUUUUAUUCACUUUUUUUCUUCCUAGUAUUAAUACAGCCUAAUAUUAUAUUGCUGAAGUAAAUAUUUUCUAGUUUACUUCUUUUGCACAUUAAGUUACAAAUGCCAUAAGGAUAGUGACCAAUUUUGUCUUAUUCAUCUCUGUAUCCGAAGAGCCUGCUACAUUGUCACUGACUUAAUGAUAGAAUAAAUGGUGAAUGAAUAAUAAAAUCGGAAAUCAGGUUAUCUAUGUAGGAAUUCCUUUCAAUGCCAUAUUUCAUCGUAUGCUGGUGUGUGUAAGUCUUAAGAAACAGUUGGUUUUGUAAACUUUUUUAUUUUUCCUUAAUGUUUGCCCAUAAAGACUGAGAUUAGGUGAUUAAGUGGCUUAUUGUUAUGCUGCAUUUGAAAAUGCUGUCCAGUCUUGUAAUCUGAAUGUUUCACAAAACCAUCAUGAAGAUUUUCAUAAAGCAGUAGCACAAUUAGAAGGGAGAUGGAACACAGAGACAAUAACAGAUACAAUAUCUCAUCCAUGAUUGUCUUUAAUGUCAUCCACUUAGGAGUAGGAAAAGUUAUCUUGAAAUUGAAAUGUGGAUAUACAUUUUGAAUUCUUAGAAAGCUGGCAUGGGGAUAAACAGACCUAUUUUUCUAUGAUUAAUUAGUUGUGAACUCUGGGCACAAAUCACUUAGCUACACUGAGUGUUGGUUUACUCAUCCAUAGAAGUAUAUUUGAGUAGUUAGUCGAAUAGCUGUCCAGCUGUGCUUUGUUGAAAGCUAUAAGCUGGGGUCAAGUAUGUGAAGGAGUCCCAAAUGCCCUACCACUAUACCCCCAAUCUAUCCAGAGAAACCUUGCUUUAAUUCAGUUUUUAUGUUGGAGAGAUCAAUAAAUUUUGAUUUUUUUCAAUUAGUUCUUAGUACUUAAGAGCAUUUGAAAUCUGCUAGGGUAGAUUGUUUUCAAUAUCCCGUGGUAUUUUUUAUAAUAAGAAAAAUAUGAAUUCAAUAUUUAAAGACUUAAUUGAAAAUUCAUUCUAUGCAAGGCACUAUGUUAAAUGCUGUAAGAUGAUAUCCAUACACAGUUGGUUUAUAGCCUCACCCAGUCUAAGGUUACCAUAAUACAAGGUAAAUGUGUAUUAGAAGGACAUAACAGUGACAUAAGCACAGACACAUAAAGUUCAGAAGAGAGGGAACUUAAG